rnacentral:rRNA from 1 species
GACAUGACUCUUGGCAAUAGAUUUCUUGGCUCUCGCAUCGAUGAAGAGCGUAACGAAAUGCGAUACGUGGUACGAAUGGCAAA